rnacentral:rRNA from 1 species
CCUACGGGUGGCAGCAGUGGGGAAUAUUGCGCAAUGGGCGAAAGCCUGACGCAGCGACGCCGCGUGAGGGAUGAAGGUCUUCGGAUCGUAAACCUCUGUCAGCAGGGAAGAACGGUCACUGUGCUAAUCAGCAGUGAAUUGACGGUACCUGCAAAGGAAGCACCGGCUAAAUACGUGCCAGCAGCCGCGGUAAUACGUAUGGAGCAAGCGUUAUCCGGAAUUACUGGGUGUAAAGGGAGCGUAGACGGAUGUGCAAGUCUGAUGUGAAAGGCGGGGGCUCAACCCCUGGACUGCAUUGGAAACUGUAAAUCUUGAGUGCCGGAGAGGUAAGCGGAAUUCCUAGUGUAGCGGUGAAAUGCGUAGAUAUUAGGAGGAACACCAGUGGCGAAGGCGGCUUACUGGACGGUAACUGACGUUGAGGCUCGAAAGCGUGGGGAGCAAACAGGAUUAGAUACCCCUGUAGUC